rnacentral:rRNA from 1 species
CGUUAAUUGGAGGCAUUGCCUGCCAGUGACAACUGUUUAACGGCCGCGGUAUCCUGACCGUGCAAAGGUAGCAUAAUCAUUUGUUCUCUAAAUAAGGACUUGUAUGAAUGGCCGCACGAGGGUUUUACUGUCUCUUACUUCCAAUCAGUGAAAUUGACCUUCCCGUGAAGAGGCGGGAAUGCACAAAUAAGACGAGAAGACCCUAUGGAGCUUUAACUAACCAACCCAAAGAGAAUAGAUUUAACCAUUAAGGAAUAACAACAAUCUCCAUGAGUUGGUAGUUUCGGUUGGGGUGACCUCGGAGAAUAAAAAAUCCUCCGAGCGAUUUUAAAGACUAGACCCACAAGUCAAAUCACUCUAUCGCUCAUUGAUCCAAAAACUUGAUCAACGGAACAAGUUACCCUAGGGAUAACAGCGCAAUCCUAUUCAAGAGUCCAUAUCGACAAUAGGGUUUACGACCUCGAUGUUGGAUCAGGACAUCCUGAUGGUGCAACCGCUAUCAAAGGUUCGUUUGUUCAACGAUUAAAGUCCUACGUGAUCUGAGUUCAGACCGGA